rnacentral:rRNA from 1 species
GCAAAACGCGAAGAACCUUACCCACCUUUGACAUGUACGGAAUCCUUUAGAGAUGGCUUGGUGCCCGAAAGGGAGCCGUAACACAGGUGCUGCAUGGCUGUCGUCAGCUCGUGUCGUGAGAUGUUGGGUUAAGUCCCGCAACGAGCGCAACCCUUGCCAUUAGUUGCUACGAAAGGGCACUCUAAUGGGACUGCCGGUGACAAACCGGAGGAAGGUGGGGAUGACGUCAAGUCCUCAUGGCCCUUAUAGGUGGGGCUACACACGUCAUACAAUGGCUGGUACAGAGGGUUGCCAACCCGCGAGGGGGAGCUAAUCCCACAAAGCCAGUCGUAGUCCGGAUCGCAGUCUGCAACUCGACUGCGUGAAGUCGGAAUCGCUAGUAAUCGCGGAUCAGAAUGUCGCGGUGAAUACGUUCCCGGGUCUUGUACACAC